rnacentral:rRNA from 1 species
AGUAAUAGAUAGGAACGUGUCCGGGAGUGGGGGAUAACUAGCCGAAAGGUUAGCUAAUACCGCAUAUUCUCUACGGAGGAAAGCGGGGGAUUCGCAAGAACCUCGCGCUCGCGGAGUGGCCUAUCUCCGAUUAGCUAGUUGGUGAGGUAAAGGCUUACCAAGGCGACGAUCGGUAGCUGGUCUGAGAGGAUGAUCAGCCACACUGGGACUGAGACACGGCCCAG